UGGAUAACUACGGAAAAGCUGUAGCUAAUACUUGCUUUAGCACUCUUGAUUAAGUUCAUGAGUGUGUACUUGUUAAGCCUUUUAAGAAAAAAGUUAUUAACUUAAGGAAUUAUAACAAAGAAGUAACACGUAAUGGAUCCGUCCAUUUUUAGUGUGUAUCAAUCGAGUUUCUGACCUAUCAGCUUUUGAUGUUAGGGUAUUGGCCUAACAUGGCUAUGACGGGUAACGGGGAAUUAGAGUUCGAUUCCGGAGAGGGAGCCUGAGAAAUAGCUACCACAUCUAAGGAAGGCAGCAGGCGCGUAAAUUACCCAAUUCUAAAGAAGAGAGGUAGUGACAAGAAAUAACAAUACAAGGCCAAUCUGGCUUUGUAAUUGGAAUGAUGGGAAUUUAAAACCUUCCCAAAACUCAAUUGGAGGGCAAGUCUGGUGCCAGCAGCCGCGGUAAUUCCAGCUCCAAUAGCGUAUAUUAAAAUUGUUGCAGUUAAAACGCUCGUAGUUGAAUUUCAAAGAAUCGAUAUUUUAAGUAACGCUUUUAGCUUAAUCCACAUAACUGAUACUACGUAUCGACUUUGUGCGCAUUUUGCUAUUAUGUGUUCUUUUAAUUAAAAUGAUUCUUUUUAAGAUCUUUCUUUUGCUUCGGCAUUCGAAGAUCUUGUUACUUUGAGUAAAUUAGGGUGUUCAAAGCAAACAGAUAUAGCAUUGCGCGUUUGAAUACUACAGCAUGGAAUAACAAAAUUGAACAAGUCAGAAUUUUGUUCUUUUUUCUUAUUUUGGCUUAGUUACGAUUAAUAGGAGUAGCUUGGGGGCAUUUGUAUUCAGAUGUCAGAGGUGAAAUUCUUAGAUUUUCUGGAGACAAACAACUGCGAAAGCAUUUGCCUAAAAUACUUCCAUUAAUCAAGAACGAAAGUUAAGGGAGUGAAGACGAUCAGAUACCGUCGUAAUCUUAACCAUAAACUAUGCCGACUAGGCUUUGGAUGAAAGAUUUUAAAAUAAGAGAUUUUCUCUUCGGAGUUAAUC
rnacentral:rRNA from 1 species